rfam:Heterocephalus glaber contig40918, whole genome shotgun sequence.
GGGGAUUUAGCUCAGUGGUUCUGCAGCCUGCCUUGCAAGCACAAGGACCUGAGUUCAAUCCCCAGUAUCCCCC